rnacentral:lncRNA from 1 species
CAUAAUUCAUAUUUAGGUCUUAUUAAGUUUACAAGUCAUGUUGAAAUCUACAAGUUGAAUUAAAAGUAAAAAUAUUUGUAUUACUUGGGUAUAUAUGCUAAAGUUGCUUUAGGAUGUCACGUCACCGGAGCUCAUAAAUAGACAUGAUGUCUUCAUAAAACAAGGAAGAUUACAAAAUCGUAUUUCUCCCCAGAGCAAUAAGGGUUACUAAGAUGAUGUGAUGAAUUCCAACCCUGGAAAUGGUCCCUAAAUUUCUUUAACUUCCAUCAUCAUUCUUUUUCAAGUUUAGCAAAAUUCACCAAGAUGCCUUCAAACCAAUUUACUUUAGUUCCCAUGUCUCAGAUAUAAGUCCAACCAAUUUUCUUCUACAGACCUUACCAAGCGGAUUUUCAACAUGUGCAAUGGCUAAUGAACAUCUCCUCAUCGACCUGUCAAAACCUUAAAUAAAUUAUAUCAAUCACCAUAUUAUUACUCGUCUCUAACUGAGGCUUCCUACACAGAAAGCUUUUUAGCCUAUUGUUUUGCUACUUUUCAAAACCAAAUCUCAUUAGGUAGACAAACUCAAACGGCAAUUAGCUAAUCUUCUCCACAUAACUUCUAUGAUCCUGUAGCAACAUAUAUCAAGAGGUAUAAUCACUUUUCUUUCAAAGACAAAUAAAUGUUUGUGCAUAUACAACAUCAGAUAUUAACAAUACAAUAAAAAAUCAGGCCGAAAAUAAACAUGAGGAUAUAAGCUGUGCAUUCAGCUAUUUCAACAGCAGAAUCACCAGCAUGUACAAACCUAUUCACCCCACCUAUCAUGAACUCGUAUGAACAUAAUAUAGUACAUGGUAAGUUGCAAAAUAUUAAAUAAAGAGGCAGUGGAAAAAAUGUCAAAGUCAUGACCAUUCAAAAAUGAAAAUGGUAAAAAAUAAAAUUUAUAGCACAUUAUCAAAUUUAUGUAUAAAGUCCAACGCACAAUCUUUCUCCAGGCCUGCAGCAACUUAUCCUCUCUUGCAGGUCCGCAACUUCAUUUAGAUCAUGUAUGCACACGAAAGAAGCAAGUUCACGGGCUACUCUAUUCCCCUUGCACACGAACCAAAUACCAAUCUCAUUUAAAAGUGGUCAAGAAUGAGUAUACCUAACAAUCAAGAUGUGCAUAUAUAGAAUGAAGUAAAUUCACCUGUUUAAAUCAAAAAAUAGAUAGGAUUGAUGGGCAUACCUAGAAGGCUACUUGAAGAAUAACACUGAAAUCUAUCAAUUAAGCCAUAAUUUGUUGACGAGAUAAUGCUUCAAUUGAAAUUUUGAAUUAGGUUUGGGCCAAUUAAGAAGCGGCAAAUAGCGCGAAUGAAUAUUUUUGGGGAAAAUUUUUGGAGCCAAUUCAAAGAGUGGAAGACAGCAAGAGAGGGAAUUAAUUUUGAGGAAAAAGAAUUUGUAGGCAAAAGUAUAUUGAGGAAAAAAUACAACAAUAG